rnacentral:rRNA from 1 species
CCUACGGGAGACAGCAGUGAGGAAUAUUGGUCAAUGGACGCAAGCCUGACCCAGCAAAGCCGCGUGAAGGAAGAAGGCUUUCUGGUUGUAAAAUUCUUUUCUCAGGUACGAAGAAAGUGACGGUACCUGAUGAUUAAGCCACGGCUAACUACGUGCCAGCAGCCCCGGUAAUACGUAGGUGCCAAGAUUUAUCCGGAUUUAUUGGUUUUAAGGGGUGAGUAGGCGGAUUUUUAAGUCAGCGGUAAAAUUUCCGGGCUCAACCCGGGCCGGCCGUUGAAACUGGGAAUCUUGAGUGGGCGAGAAGUAUGCGGAAUGCGUGGUGUAGCGGUGAAAUGCAUAGAUAUCACGCAGAACUCCGAUUGCGAAGGCAGCAUACCGGCGCCUGACUGACACUGAUGCACGAAAGCGUGGGGAUCGAACAGGAUUAGAUACCCUUGUAGUC